rnacentral:rRNA from 1 species
AGAGUUUGAUCCUGGCUCAGGAUGAACGCUGGCGGCGUGCCUAAUACAUGCAAGUCGAGCGAACAGAUAAGGAGCUUGCUCCUUUGAAGUUAGCGGCGGACGGGUGAGUAACACGUGGGUAACCUACCUAUAAGACUGGGAUAACUUCGGGAAACCGGAGCUAAUACCGGAUAACAUUUAGAACCGCAUGGUUCUAAAGUGAAAGAUGGUUUUGCUAUCACUUAUAGAUGGACCCGCGCCGUAUUAGCUAGUUGGUAAGGUAACGGCUUACCAAGGCGACGAUACGUAGCCGACCUGAGAGGGUGAUCGGCCACACUGGAACUGGGACACGGUCCAGACUCCUACGGGAGGCAGCAGUAGGGAAUCUUCCGCAAUGGGCGAAAGCCUGACGGAGCAACGCCGCGUGAGUGAUGAAGGGUUUCGGCUCGUAAAACUCUGUUAUUAGGGAAGAACAAAUGUGUAAGUAACUGUGCACAUCUUGACGGUACCUAAUCAGAAAGCCACGGCUAACUACGUG